rnacentral:rRNA from 1 species
GACGAACGCUGGCGGCGUGCUUAACACAUGCCAGUCGAACGGAAAGGCCCUGCUUUUGUGGGGUGCUCGAGUGGCGAACGGGUGAGUAACACGUGAGUAACCUGCCCUUGACUUUGGGAUAACUUCAGGAAACUGGGGCUAAUACCGGAUAGGAGCUCCUGCUUCAUGGUGGGGGUUGGAAAGUUUCGGCGGUUGGGGAUGGACUCGCGGCUUAUCAGCUUGUUGGUGGGGUAGUGGCUUACCAAGGCUUUGACGGGUAGCCGGCCUGAGAGGGUGACCGGCCACAUUGGGACUGAGAUACGGCCCAGACUCCUACGGGAGGCAGCAGUGGGGAAUAUUGCACAAUGGGCGGAAGCCUGAUGCAGCAACGCCGCGUGCGGGAUGACGGCCUUCUGGUUGUAAACCGCUUUCGCCUGUGACGAAGCGUGAGUGACGGUAAUGGGUAAAGAAGCACCGGCUAACUACGUG